GGCUGACCAGCUGUUGCAGUGGACCCAUAACGUACAGAUUGGGAAAUCAGACUAGCUUGCAAUGGAGAAAUAAAACUAACUCUUCCGACUCCAUACUUAAAGUUUGACAUCUGAAAAAAGUCAUGUUUGAGAAAACCAACUGGUAAAGGUUUUGAUAGCUCAUCCUUGGUGACUCGAGAUAAACCUCCUUCCUGUCCACCAUCAGUAUCUUCAGAUGAAUGAAUUGAAAAUCCAACCAAGCUUGAUCGUUCAAAGUAAUUAGACGCAGUAGUGUGCCCAUACUCAAAACUAGGCAAUCCCCGAGUCAAGUAAGUAGGUCGAUUUAGAUAAUUGCAGAGGAAAUUCUUCCUCCGCAAGAUUGCUCUCGAAGUCAUUAUCAAAAUUAUCAGCCUCUUUGCAGACAAAAGCUGUAACGUAACUCAUACAGCCACCUGUUUUUGCCAGUCUGCAGCAAUGGUAUAACCCUCAUCACUGACUAUUUAAGGAGGCCUACGUAUUAUAAGUAAUUAUAUUCAAUGGCAUCUCAAGAUUCACCACAAUUAGCUACUCUCCAUUCAGUCACUGAUGGAAAAGGACUAUGAAUAAGCUUGCUACCUUUCUCUCUCCUUUUUUUUUUUUUUGAAUCAGUAAAUUGGAUUUGAUGGAAUUGUGAAACUUUCUGCUAAACAUACGUUUUGGCAACAUGUUGGGAAAUAACUUGAGGAAUACUGGAAGCAAGAACUCCAUGAAAGGAACUAUAAUAAAAACAGCAACUGGAACCAGCCUAAAAAUAUCAGCAGUGGUCCUAGUGAGUUGUUGCCUCUCCCUUCUAGAAAGACCCUUCCCAUUGACUAGCUUCAACAAUAACCUUGAGCUUAUCCUAAUAUCUGCCCAGAGUAAUUUUGUACCUAACCAAUAGUGCUGCAUGGUAGAUUUGAAUUCAUCCUUCCAAUGGCGGAGUUUCACAGCCCAGUCUUCCCUGAAAGAUGACAUAGAAUGUAAAAAAGUGUUAGACGGCUUAUAAAAGCAUAAAUCUAAUGUAAUUAGAACUUGAACAGCAAAGUCUGAACCUGCUCAUAGAAGCAACAGCUCUCAAAGCAGGACCAAUACCCAGUAGUGCAGCCCAUACUCUCUGCACUACAGAUUUAGCACUCUUUUGAAUGUCUUGCAUCUGCUUAGCUUUUGCUGUUGCUUUUGCUUUUACUGUACUCAAACCUUCAACAGCUUGGUCACAGUCCUCUGGUGAAGCUUCUUUUAUCUGUUUAGUGGCCAGCUGCUCAUUUCUGUCCCUUUCAGGCUGACCAGCUGUUGCAGUGGACCCAUAACGUACAGAUUGGGAAAUCAGACUAGCUUGCAAUGGAGAAAUAAAACUAACUCUUCCGACUCCAUACUUAAAGUUUGACAUCUGAAAAAAGUCAUGUUUGAGAAAACCAACUGGUAAAGGUUUUGAUAGCUCAUCCUUGGUGACUCGAGAUAAACCUCCUUCCUGUCCACCAUCAGUAUCUUCAGAUGAAUGAAUUGAAAAUCCAACCAAGCUUGAUCGUUCAAAGUAAUUAGACGCAGUAGUGUGCCCAUACUCAAAACUAGGCAAUCCCCGAGUCAAGUAAGUAGGUCGAUUUAGAUAAUUGCAGAGGAAAUUCUUCCUCCGCAAGAUUGCUCUCGAAGUCAUUAUCAAAAUUAUCAGCCUCUUUGCAGACAAAAGCUGUAACGUAACUCAUACAGCCACCUGUUUUUGCCAGUCUGCAGCAAUGGUAUAACCC
rnacentral:lncRNA from 1 species